rnacentral:rRNA from 1 species
UACAGUGGUCUCGAGCGUUAGGCGGAAUCACUGGGCUUAAAGCGUGCGCAGGCGGUCUGCUAAGAGAGGUGUGAAAUCCCCGGGCUUAACCUGGGAACUGCGCUUCUAACUGGCAGGCUAGAGUGUGGCAGAGGGGGGUGGAAUUCCACGUGUAGCAGUGAAAUGCGUAGAGAUGUGGAGGAACACCGAUGGCGAAGGCAGCCCCCUGGGCUAACACUGACGCUCAUGCACGAAAGCGUGGGGAGCAAACAGG